GGACGGUAUAGCUCAGUUGGUUAGAGCGCUUGAUUGUGGUUCAAGAGGCCGUGGGUUCGAGCCCCAUUACUGUCCC
rnacentral:tRNA from 1 species